GAAAUGCGAUAAGUAGUGUGAAUUGCAGAAUUCAGUGAAUCAUCGAAUCUUUGAACGCACAUUGCGCCCCUUGGUAUUCCAUGGGGCAUGCCUGUUCGAGCGUCAUUUGUUCCCUCAAGCUCUGCUUGGUGUUGGGUGUUUGUCCCCGUCUCCGCGCGUGGACUCGCCCCAAAGUGAUUGGCAGCCGGCGUACUGGUCCCGGAGCGCAGCACAUGUCGCGCAAACGAGUGCCUUGGUACGGCGGCGUCCAUAAGCCCCUCUCUCACGCUCUUGACCUCGGAUCAGGUAGGGAUACCCGCUGAACUUAAGC
rnacentral:misc_RNA from 1 species